CACGCCGUAAACGAUGAGUGCUAAGUGUUAGGGGGUUUCCGCCCCUUAGUGCUGCAGCUAACGCAUUAAGCACUCCGCCUGGGGAGUACGACCGCAAGGUUGAAACUCAAAGGAAUUGAC
rnacentral:rRNA from 1 species